rnacentral:rRNA from 1 species
AUUCCGGUUGAUCCUGCCGGAGGCCAUUGCUAUUGGGAUCCGAUUUAGCCAUGCUAGUCGCACGAGUUCGGACUCGUGGCGAAUAGCUCAGUAACACGUGGCCAAACUACCCUUCGGAACACAAUACCCUCGGGAAACUGAGGCUAAUAGUGUAUACCACAUCACCACUGGAAUGAGUGAUGUGCCAAACGCUCCGG